UACAGAGGCCCCGAGCGUUAGGCGGAAUCACUGGGCUUAAAGCGCGUGUAGGCGGGUCGUUAAGUACCUUGUGAAAUCCCACGGCUCAACCGUGGAACUGCUGGGUAUACUGGCGAUCUUGGGCCACUCAGGGGCGACCGGAACAAGCGGUGGAGCGGUGAAAUGCGUAGAUAUCGCUUGGAACGCCGAAGGUGAAAACAGGCUGCUGGGGUUGCGCCGACGCUGAGACACGAAAGCCAGGGGAGCAAACGGG
rnacentral:rRNA from 1 species